GCCGUUCACCGACGCCCCUGGGAGAAACAGACCGGAGUACGCGGGUGGCGCGGAGCACGAGAAACAACGAGAUUCUGUCUAGAUCGUGGGGGACCCAAGGCCGGGGUUGCGUCCGAGGUCGGGGAUGGAGAGGACGCGACCCCCGCGGCAGUCGAGAUGGCCUUUUUUAAAUUCUGUAUUUGAGAAGGAGUCUCGCGCUGUCGCCCAGGCUGGAGCGCAAUGGCACGAAAUCGGCUCAUUGCAGCCUCGACGUCCAGGACUCGAGCGAUCCUCCCGCCUCAGCCUCUCGAGAAGGUGGGACCACCGGUGGGCACCGCCACGCCCAGCUAAUUGUUAUUAAUGUUUUGCUACAGCCGGGAUCUUGCUGUGAUGUCUGGCUGGUCUUAAACUCCUGGGCUCCAGCGAUCCUCCCUCCUCGGCCUCCCAAAGCGCUGGGAUUACAGGCAUGAGCCACACUGCGCCUGGCCGAGCUAGUGCAUUUUGAUUGACCUUCACUGCAUGUCAAUUUAUGUUUUACACUAUUCCAUUUAGUCCUCAGAACAGUUCCUUAGAAUUGGGUAUUGCUCCGUUUACACGGGAAAGGUAGCAGCGAGGUAACGGGCUAGGUCCCAUACUGGCAACGGGAGCCCUGCUCAUCUGACUGCUUGCACCCUGUGCUGUCUAUGCUGGGCGUACUGGGGUGCGUUAGGGAAGAGACCACAGGUACGAUACAAUGCCUGUCCUCAAGGAGCCCAUUGUUCUCAUGGAGACACAAAGCUGACACAUCCAGAACAAACUAUGGAACGGGCUGUGGCUGGGGGCCAUGAAGGAAGGCUGCCAAGUCCGGGCCCAGCCAGGUAGCGGCCACACCUCUACCCUGCUCCCCAACACUGGGCACCAGCACUCGCCUGCCCAGGACCCACAGUGAAAACCCACCCACACAAAAUGCACUUUGGAGAAGAGUAACAGGUCCCAGGCAGAGCUGGGGCCACCUCUCAGAAAGGACAUCAAGUUUCUCUCCCAGCUGAGAGAUGGACAGAUGACCACACGAGCCAUUCACAGCCCAAGGUGAUAGACUCUAGGGUAUAUUCAAGGCUGCGCAACUGGCUUGAAGUCGUGUCUACUUACAUAUUCAGAGACCUACUGAGCAUUCACAAGUCAUUGUUUUUACCCUCCAACUAGCCAUGUUCUCAACCAGUCUACCUAGGAAUGCUGUUGGCUGUGAAAACUUCAGAGAUGAAAACUCCAGAGGCUGGUGUCCUUAGAGUUCCUUCAGGGUGCCUUCCGCAUCUGAGCCCAGCGACUCUUGAGGUGAAAGUGCUCAUCUUUUUUUUUUUUUUUUUUUUUUUGGUGAGACACAGUCUUGCUCUGUCGCCCAGGCUGGAGUGCAGUGGCGCAAUCUCAAAGUGCUCAUCUUUAUGUACUUUGGAUGCCGGUGAAUGCCUAUUGUUUCAGCCACCUGGAUCACUUUACCUGUUAACCAUUCCAAUGACACUCCUAAGGAAGCGAAGACGCAAGGAAGUGACAAAACCUAUGUGCUUUUGCAGGAGGCUGAACAAAGAGGCAGUUGUGGAAAAGUAAACCGUGUGGGGAGGCUUAAGAAUGACAGGAAUUACUUUAAUUACUUCAAUGUCGGUACAGAAUUCUGUCGGCUAUGACGUGCCUCCCUGUGGAGGAGUAUUUCUUUGCCCGGUACAAGGAAGGCAUCUUUCACAUGAGGGUUUUUAUCUCCUGUCUUCAGGAAGAAAAGGAGAUUUGAUGACGCUCUUGCCUGUGCCAUUUUUCAAGUGCCUUAGGUAGAAGUGAUUCUCACGUCAAAGUGGCAGAGUCAGCCACCCUUUGAUCCUGAUGGAAGUGUCCUAAAAGGUGUUUACAAGGCCGGGUGCGGUGGCUCACGCUUGUAAUCCCAGCACUUUGGGAGGCCGAGGCAGGCGGAUCACGAGGUCAGGAGAUCGAGACCAUGGUGAAACCCCGUCUCUACUAAAAAUACAAAAAAAUUAGCUGGGCGUGGUGGCAGGCGCCUGUAGUCCCAGCUCCUCGGAGAGGCUGAGGCAGGAGAAUGGCGUGAACCCAGGAGGCGGAGCUUGCAGUGAGCCGAGAUUGCGCCACUGCACUCCAGCCUGGGUGACAGAGCGAGACUCCGUCUCAAGAAAAAAAAAAAAAAAAAAAAGGUGUUUACAGUGAACAGUUCCCCUUCCUCCCCGACCCCAGACCCUAGUUCUCUGCCCACUUGAAACCAUGAUUAUGGGUUUCCUAUCGCCAUUCUGUAGACUUUUAUACAAAAAGAGUUUUAUCUAUGAGAAAAUAUUUUUCAGUGAUCCUGUUCUUCACACCAAUUAAACCUGACUGUUCCCUGC